UGUGGUCAAGUUUUUAAGAGCACACGGUGGAUGCCUUGGCAUUAGGAGCCGAAGAAGGACGUAGGAAUCUGCGAUAAGCCUGGGGGAGUCGAUAACCGGACUGUGAUCCCAGGGUGUCCGAAUGGGGAAACCCCGCCAGGAGCGCGAGUUACCUGGUGACCCGCAUCUGAACACAUAGGGUGCGUGGAGGGAACGCGGGGAAGUGAAACAUCUCAGUACCCGCAGGAAGAGAAAACAAUAGUGAUUCCGUUAGUAGUGGCGAGCGAACGCGGAUCAGGCUAAACCGUUCCAUGUGUGAUAGCCGGCGGGCGUUGCAUGGUCGGGGUUGUGGGACAUUACGUGUCAGUUCUGCCGGGCUGACGGGGUGUGGGUGUGCGUAUAGGUGAACGGUCUUGAAAGGCCGGCCAGAGAGGGUGUUAGUCCCGUAACUGUAAUGCGUUGCACCGCCUUGUUGAUGUAUCCCAAGUAGUACGGGGCCCGAGAAAUCCCGUGCGAAUCUGUCAGGACCACCUGAUAAGCCUAAAUACUCCCUAAUGACCGAUAGCGGACCAGUACCGUGAGGGAAAGGUGAAAAGUACCCCGGGAGGGGAGUGAAACAGUACCUGAAACCGUGUGCUUACAAUCCGUCGGAGCAACCUUGUAGUUGUGACGGCGUGCCUUUUGAAGAAUGAGCCUGCGAGUUAGUGUUACGUCGCGAGGUUAACCCGUGUGGGGCAGCCGUAGCGAAAGCGAGUCUGAAUAGGGCGUUUGAGUGGCGUGAUCUAGACCCGAAGCGAAGUGAUCUACCCAUGGCCAGGUUGAAGCGACGGUAAGACGUCGUGGAGGACCGAACCCACUUCAGUUGAAAAUGGAGGGGAUGAGCUGUGGGUAGGGGUGAAAGGCCAAUCAAACUUCGUGAUAGCUGGUUCUCCCCGAAAUGCAUUUAGGUGCAGCGUUGCGUGUUUCUUAUCGGAGGUAGAGCUACUGGAUGGCUAAUGGGCCCUACAAGGUUACUGACGUCAGCCAAACUCCGAAUGCCGGUAAGUGAGAGCGUAGCAGUGAGACUGUGGGGGAUAAGCUUCAUAGUCGAGAGGGAAACAGCCCAGACCACCAACUAAGGCCCCUAAGCGUGUGCUAAGUGGGAAAGGAUGUGGAGUUGCGAAGACAACCAGGAGGUUGGCUUAGAAGCAGCCAUCCUUAAAAGAGUGCGUAAUAGCUCACUGGUCAAGUGAUUCCGCGCCGACAAUGUAGCGGGGCUCAAGUACACCGCCGAAGUUGUGGCAUUCAAAUAUUAGCUAAGCCCUUGUGGUUCAGGCGUUUGGAUGGGUAGGGGAGCGUCGUGUGGGCAGUGAAGUCGCGGUGGAAACCAGCGGUGGAGCCUACACGAGUGAGAAUGCAGGCAUGAGUAGCGAAAGACGGGUGAGAAACCCGUCCGCCGAAUGAUCAAGGGUUCCAGGGUCAAGCUAAUCUGCCCUGGGUAAGUCGGGACCUAAGGCGAGGCCGACAGGCGUAGUCGAUGGACAACGGGUUGAUAUUCCCGUACCGGCGAAAAACCGCCCAUGUUGAACAGGGGAUACUAACUGCCCGAGACCUGCCCGAUCACCCUUGUGGUGUGAGGGUUUUGGUGGAGCGCAGGACCUGAUCCUGGGAGGCAAGCGUAUUAACAGGUGUGACGCAGGAAGGUAGCCGAGCCGGGCGAUGGUUGUCCCGGUCUAAGGAUGUAGGGCGAGUGGUAGGCAAAUCCGCCACUCAUGAUGCCUGAGAUCUGAUGGGACCCCCGUUUGGGGGGAUUUGGUGAUCCUAUGCUGCCGAGAAAAGCAUCGACGCGAGGUUUUAGCCGCCCGUACCCCAAACCGACACAGGUGAUCAGGUAGAGAAUACUAAGGCGAUCGAGAGAAUUAUGGUUAAGGAACUCGGCAAAAUGCCCCCGUAACUUCGGGAGAAGGGGGGCCCCAACCUUGAUGGACACUUGCUGUCCGGAGGGGAUCGGGGCCGCAGAGACCAGGGGGAAGCGACUGUUUACUAAAAACACAGGUCCGUGCGAAGUCGCAAGACGAUGUAUACGGACUGACUCCUGCCCGGUGCUGGAAGGUUAAGAGGACCGGUUAGCCUGUAAGGGCGAAGCUGAGAAUUUAAGCCCCAGUAAACGGCGGUGGUAACUAUAACCAUCCUAAGGUAGCGAAAUUCCUUGUCGGGUAAGUUCCGACCUGCACGAAUGGAGUAACGACUUCCCCGCUGUCUCAACCAUAAACUCGGCGAAAUUGCAGUACGAGUAAAGAUGCUCGUUACGCGCAGCAGGACGGAAAGACCCCGAGACCUUUACUAUAGUUUGGUAUUGGUGUUCGGAGUGGCUUGUGUAGGAUAGGUGGGAGACGUUGAAGCCCGGACGCCAGUUCGGGUGGAGUCAUCGUUGAAAUACCACUCUGGUCACUUUGGACAUCUAACUUCGGCCCGUAAUCCGGGUCAGGGACAGUGCCUGAUGGGUAGUUUAACUGGGGCGGUUGCCUCCUAAAAAGUAACGGAGGCGCCCAAAGGUUCCCUCAGCCUGGUUGGCAAUCAGGUGUCGAGUGUAAGUGCACAAGGGAGCUUGACUGUGAGAGAGACAUCUCGAGCAGGGACGAAAGUCGGGACUAGUGAUCCGGCGGUACAUUGUGGAAUGGCCGUCGCUCAACGGAUAAAAGGUACCUCGGGGAUAACAGGCUGAUCUUGCCCAAGAGUCCAUAUCGACGGCAUGGUUUGGCACCUCGAUGUCGGCUCGUCGCAUCCUGGGGCUGGAGUAGGUCCCAAGGGUUGGGCUGUUCGCCCAUUAAAGCGGUACGCGAGCUGGGUUUAGAACGUCGUGAGACAGUUCGGUCCCUAUCCGCUGCGCGCGCAGGAAAUUUGAGAAGGGCUGUCCUUAGUACGAGAGGACCGGGACGGACGAACCUCUGGUGUGUCAGUUGUACUGCCAAGUGCACCGCUGAUUAGCUACGUUCGGAUGGGAUAACCGCUGAAAGCAUCUAAGCGGGAAGCUCGCUUCGAGAUGAGAUUUCCNGUCAGUUGUACUGCCAAGUGCACCGCUGAUUAGCUACGUUCGGAUGGGAUAACCGCUGAAAGCAUCUAAGCGGGAAGCUCGCUUCGAGAUGAGAUUUCCAUACACUUUAUUGUGUGAGAGGCCCCCAGCCAGACCACUGGGUUGAUAGGCCGGAUGUGGAAGCGAGGACUAACGACUCGUGAAGCUGACCGGUACUAAUAGGCCAACAACUUACACCACA
rnacentral:rRNA from 1 species